AUGGUGGUGUGCGUGGAUGAGUCGGCGGCUCGAACGGAGGGGCUUCGAAGGUAUCGAACUCAGAGGAAUCGUGCGAUGAAGUCUCGGUUGUUUUCUCUGUAUUUUUUUCGAUUCUUUUUUCUCUUGUUGGCUUUUGAUUUUCGCGGACGCUUGUUCACUGAUGGAGGCUUAUGCUCAAACCAAAGGGAGUUUCAAGGUGAAACUCUCAGUUGCUUCUUGUUUGGAAGAGCUUUUUGUGAAGGGUUAGGGAAACAGUAA